rnacentral:rRNA from 1 species
CCUACGGGGGGCUGCAGUGGGGAAUAUUGGACAAUGGGGGCAACCCUGAUCCAGCCAUGCCGCGUGUGUGAAGAAGGCCCUCGGGUUGUAAAGCACUUUCAGUGAGGAAGAACGCCUGGUGGUUAAUACCCAUCAGGAAAGACAUCACUCACAGAAGAAGCACCGGCUAACUCCGUGCCAGCAGCCGCGGUAAUACGGAGGGUGCGAGCGUUAAUCGGAAUUACUGGGCGUAAAGCGCGCGUAGGUGGCUUGAUAAGCCGGUUGUGAAAGCCCCGGGCUCAACCUGGGAACGGCAUCCGGAACUGUCAAGCUAGAGUGCAGGAGAGGAAGGUAGAAUUCCCGGUGUAGCGGUGAAAUGCGUAGAGAUCGGGAGGAAUACCAGUGGCGAAGGCGGCCUUAUGGACUGACACUGACACUGAGGUGCGAAAGCGUGGGUAGCAAACAGGAUUAGAUAUCCUAGUAGUC